AUAUAUUUCAAUAGCCGCUUAUAAAGUGCUAAGGUAGCAUAAUCACUUGUCUUUUAAUUUUAGAAUAGAAUGAAAGGGUUAACGAGUCUAAACCUUUAUUUAAAUCUUUAUAAGAAAUUUAUAUUAAAGUAAAAAAGCUUUAAUAAACAGAAAAGACGACAAGACCCUUAGAACUUCACUUAAAGUUUAACUGGGGUGGUAAAUUAUAAAAACUAAUUUUCAUAAUAUAAACAAACCUUUAGUAAAAAGUUACCUAAGGGAUAACAGCAUAAUUUAAUUUUAAAGAUCUUAUAUAAAAUAAAGAUUAUGACCUCGAUGUUGAAUUAUUAAACUAAAAAUAGAAAAUUAUUUUAAAGUAAGUCUGUUCGACUUUUUAAAAAAUACAU
rnacentral:rRNA from 1 species